rnacentral:rRNA from 1 species
CAGCAGCCGCGGGAAUACGAAGGGGGCUAGCGUUGCUCGGAAUGACUGGGCGUAAAGGGCGCGUAGGCGGCGAUCAAAGUCAGGCGUGAAAUUCCUGGGCUCAACCUGGGGGCUGCGUUUGAUACUUGAUUGCUAGAGUGGGGAAGAGGGUCGUGGAAUUCCCAGUGUAGAGGUGAAAUUCGUAGAUAUUGGGAAGAACACCGGUGGCGAAGGCGGCGACCUGGCUCAUGACUGACGCUGAGGCGCGAAAGCGUGGGGAGCAAACAGGAUUAGAUACCCGUGUAGUCCCUGUCUCUUAUAC